GCGCUCGUAGCUCAGUAGGAUAGAGCAACGGAUUCCUAAUCCGUGGGUCGGGGGUUCGACUCCCUUCGGGCGUA
rnacentral:tRNA from 1 species